GGAUUUUUUUUUUGAAUCGACCCAAAUCAAUUUUCCUCCGUGAGCCAGGGAUCCCCUUUUCAUUUCUCCUUCUGAACUCUACACUUUGAAUAUUUAAUGAACUAGGAUUUCUCUUUCUUUCAACCUAAACAAAGUGUCCUUCAAGAGCCGGAACCUGGAUUUUUUUUUUGGAUCGACCCAAAUCAAUUUUCCUCCGGGAGCCGGGGAUCCCCUUUUCAUUUCUCCUUCUGAACUCUACACUUUGAAUAUUUAAUGAACUUGGAUUUCUCUUUCUUUCAACCUAAACAAAGUGUCCUUCAAGAGCCGGAACCUGGAUUUUUUUUUUGGAUCGACCCAAAUCAAUUUUCCUCCGGGAGCCGGGGAUCCCCUUUUCAUUUCUCCUUCUGAACUCUACACUUUGAAUAUUUAAUGAACUAGGAUUUUUCUUUCUUUCAACCUAAACAAAGUGUCCUUCAAGAGCCGGGUAAUCUUUUAUAAUAUUUUUUGUU